CAAGUCGAGCGGUAACAGAUCUAGCUUGCUAGAUGCUGACGAGCGGCGGACGGGUGAGUAAUGCAUAGGAAUCUGCCCGGUAGUGGGGGAUAACCUGGGGAAACCCAGGCUAAUACCGCAUACGUCCUACGGGAGAAAGGGGGCUCCGGCUCCCGCUAUGGGAUGAGCCUAUGUCGGAUUAGCUAGUUGGUGAGGUAACGGCUCACCAAGGCAACGAUCCGUAGCUGGUCUGAGAGGAUGAUCAGCCACAUCGGGACUGAGACACGGCCCGAACUCCUACGGGAGGCAGCAGUGGGGAAUAUUGGACAAUGGGGGAAACCCUGAUCCAGCCAUGCCGCGUGUGUGAAGAAGGCCCUCGGGUUGUAAAGCACUUUCAGCGAGGAAGAACGCCUAGCGGUUAAUACCCGCUAGGAAAGACAUCACUCGCAGAAGAAGCACCGGCUAACUCCGUGCCAGCAGCCGCGGUAAUACGGAGGGUGCAAGCGUUAAUCGGAAUUACUGGGCGUAAAGCGCGCGUAGGUGGCUUGAUAAGCCGGUUGUGAAAGCCCCGGGCUCAACCUGGGAACGGCAUCCGGAACUGUCAAGCUAGAGUGCAGGA
rnacentral:rRNA from 1 species